GCGCAUAGUGUUGUUUUUGGUUAGAAUUUAUGCUUCCCAAGCAUGAGGCCCGGGUUCGAUUCCCGGCUUGCGCA
rnacentral:tRNA from 1 species